GAUUCAUCUCUUCCCUUCCUGAAACCAACAAAGGCAUGGAUGAGAAUUUUUUUAUUAUUAUCUUGGGUGACUAGCAUGAUGGGUUGCAUUGUCCUACGUGGGACGGGGAGCCAGGUGGGAUGAUCAUAGGCCUGAACAAGUUAUUUAUCUUAGUCUAUAGAAAAUCACUUUCUUCACUUCCCACUUUCUUUACAUUUAUUUUUUUAGCUGUAAUAUAUAUAUAUAUAUAUAUAUAUAUCUCUUUUUUCUUUUUCUUUUUUCUUUUUUAAUAAAGUUGUCUAACCUCCAACUCUUCCUUUCUCUAAUCUGCUGCAAAUAAAGAUUUCACUGCUCCCAACCUCAAUUAGGUGAACCGUGAGGAUCUUAACAAGAUCUUGAAGUCUGAGAUCUUCCUCCAUAAGAAAAGUCAGCUUUGUGCCGCCCACAUCAUCCUAGGGUAUACCCCUAUCACAACACGCUUUCAGUAUCCUAAGCACAUGAUCAAAGCCAAGGAACCUCGCUUAGCAAGCAUCGACAUAGCUAUCCCUGGAUUUCUUACCAGUCCUCCUCCCAAAGGAACUCAAGACGUUGAAUUAACCACUCAAUAGGUCGCCUACUUUUUUCAGGCCAAGGAGGAAGUCAUACCUUCCGACGAGGAACCAGAAAGACAAGUACGAGCACCUAUCUACAUUGAUCUUGGGGAGGAUUUUGAAGUUUUUAAUCAGCUCAAUCUAGCCAAGCACUUUUAGUCUAGCUUUAGACCUUAAGUUACAGCUCAAAUUAGUGCUAACCAAGAAGUCUCUGACAUACCCGAAGGGAUGGUAAUCCAAAAGAGCAUGCCUAAACUUCUGGCCUUGCUAGAGACCCAUGUCGGGGGAGAUUCGCCGCAAUACUUGUGGACUCGAGACCUCCUACCCCUCUUUCGGACCUUUCCUUUUAAGCCCGUAGAGCAAGAGCAUCCAAAAAAGCCGAAGGUUACUAAAGCCUAGUAGAAGAAAGGUUCCACUAUGGGAACUAGUUUUGGUGCUGCAACAAACUGGAGCUCCAAGAUCUUUGCUUGGAGCCCUUUGUUGGAGCCCCUUUCCCUUCUAACUCUUCUAUCAAAAAAUUUUAGCAAGGGAGAGCUGGAUAUAUGGUCGACUCUGUUUAGCAGGCUCUUCUCCUCUCUUGAGAAAUGAAGGAGUUUCGGAAUUUGAAGAUGCAUGAGGUGUUCCUUACUUUGAAGAGAGAUUUGGCUAUGGCAAUUCAAGCUUCCUACGUUGUAGAAGAGUGGGUGGACCAUGCCCUUUACAAAUUCAAGGAGGAGGAGUCACACUGUAUUGCUGCCACCAAGGCUUAAGCCGAAGCAGAGAAGAAAUACAAAGAGUCUCUCUUUAGAUUGGCUGAGGUCAAGAGAGGAAGAAAAAGUGCCGAAGCUGCUCUGGGGGUUAUUGAACGAUAGGCUAAGGAACAAUGUAUUCAGCUUCAAUCAGCAGAGGAGGAGCUAGCCCUUGCCCAAAAAAAAUUGAACUCUAAUGAAAAGAAUUGGAGGGGAAAGAGGCUGAAUUGUCCAAGGCAGAACAAACUGCUUAUGAACUGGGCCAAAAGGAAACCUCGGCCAACCUUACCCUCCAAAUAAGAGACUUGGGUAGAGAGUUUUGCCUCCAAGUUUGGAUUGGAGCUCUCAAUGCAGAUGGGCUAGACUCGUCUUCGGAUCUCAAAGAUCCAUCCAAGAUUGUCUACCCUUCUACUUUCAAGGACGAAGCCAGCUCGUCCACUUUGGCAUCAGGCCAAGCUGAACUAGCUUCUCAACCUCCUCCUGAGAAGGAGGGCAAUUACAAAGUGCCACUGGAAAAAUGGGACAAGGCUAGAGAGCAAAAAAAGAAAAACUCCACAAGAUAGGCCUUGUUAGAUCUAUUGUAGUAGGGGCACCCAAUUUAUAUUUUAACUUAGAUAGCAGGCUUUUCGACCUUCUUUUUCUGUAAUGCUAGUUCCAUAAUUAAUGAAUGAUUAGAAAUUCACUUUUA